CCCCUCUCUCUCCUCUCUCUCUCUGCCAAUUCUUAGAUAGCAGCAGAAAUUCUAUGUCGGUGAUGAAGGUGUAAUAAUGGAAACUUGAAUCCUAUCCAAAGGUGAUGACUGAUGAGGUGUGGGGGUGGCUGAAUUUAUCCGUGCGUGUGACUGUGUGUGUGUGUGUGUGUGUGUGUGUGUGUGUGAAUAUGAGAAGAAAUACAAACAAGUUGGGCGGGUUGAUAUUUUUCUCAAUUUUGUUUAUGAUUUUUCAAUGAUUGAGAUUGUGGCUGAAAUCGAGAAUGGAUCCGCUCAAUUUCACCAUCUCUGGUUAUUUUGGUCCUUUUCGAGCUCCGGAAUGGAUGUCUCCGUUCCGUCGGUGAAGAUUAUUCUACCACGUUUGUAGAUAUUGUUUUGUUUUUGUAUGCAAUGAUAAAAGCAAAGCAUAUAUCCCAUAUAUGUUCAAC